rnacentral:tRNA from 1 species
GUGGCUGUAGCUCAGUUGGUAGAGCCCUGGAUUGUGAUUCCAGUUGUCGUGGGUUCGAGCCCCAUCAGUCACC